CCUACGGGAGGCAGCAGUGGGGAAUAUUGCACAAUGGGGGAAACCCUGAUGCCGCGACGCCGCGUGAGUGAAGAAGUAUUUCGGUAUGUAAAGCUCUAUCAGCAGGAACGAGACAAGACGGUACCUGACUAAGAAGCCCCGGCUAACUACGUGCCAGCAGCCGCGGUACUACGUAGGGGGCAAGCGUUAUCCGGAAUCACUGGGUGUAAAGGGAGCGUAGACGGCUGUGCAAGCCUGAAGUGAAAGGCGGGGGCCCAACCCCUGGACUGCUUUGGGAACUGUACGGCUGGAGUGCAGGAGAGGUAAGUGGAAUUCCUAGUGUAGCGGUGAAAUGCGUAGAUAUUAGGAGGAACACCAGUGGCGAAGGCGGCUUACUGGACUGUAACUGACGUUGAGGCUCGAAAGCGUGGGGAGCAAACAGGAUUAGAGACCCGAGUAGUC
rnacentral:rRNA from 1 species